GGAGGACGUAUCGCUCGCUGUUGCGCCGCGCAAACUCGCCGGAGCUCGAAAAAUAUAGCGCAACCUGCGCAACGAACUCGUUUUGAUACUAGAUAAUGAAAGCAUAUUUAAUUCAGAUUAUCAGACUCAAUCGGAUACCAGUACAAAUAAUAUGGAAAAUGAAGAUACAAUACAUGGAAGACGAAUUAUAGAUUUUAGUUUUUUUAUAAAUCAAUUACUUAUACCUAAUUGAUAAACAUGGUGAAAAGUUUGGUUGUCGAUUAAAUAAUUUAAAAAUUGUAAACGA